CUCUGAGUGGCGCAAUCGGCAGCGCGCCGGCUUCGGGAGCCGGAGAGUGCAGGUUCGAGUCCUGUCUCGGAGA
rnacentral:tRNA from 1 species